UAUGGUGCUCGCGUCAUCGAGUGCUCGCAGGAGCAGGGAAUCCGGUGCGAGGCCGGAACUGACGCGCAGCGGUAUGGGUGACGCCGGAUCGACGAUCCACUGGGCACCACGGCCUGGGAAGGACGAUCCCGGCGGGCGAGCCCGAGUCCGAAGACCGAUCGGUGACGCGUCCCGAGG
rnacentral:ncRNA from 2 species